rnacentral:rRNA from 1 species
GAUGAACGCUGGCGGCGUGCCUAAUACAUGCAAGUCGAGCGAACAGACGAGGAGCUUGCUCCUCUGACGUUAGCGGCGGACGGGUGAGUAACACGUGGAUAACCUACCUAUAAGACUGGGAUAACUUCGGGAAACCGGAGCUAAUACCGGAUAAUAUAUUGAACCGCAUGGUUCAAUAGUGAAAGACGGUUUUGCUGUCACUUAUAGAUGGAUCCGCGCCGCAUUAGCUAGUUGGUAAGGUAACGGCUUACCAAGGCGACGAUGCGUAGCCGACCUGAGAGGGUGAUCGGCCACACUGGAGCUGAGACACGGACCAGACUCCUACGGGAGGCAGCAGUAGCGAAUCUUCCGCAAUGGGCGAAAGCAUGACGGAGCAACGCCGCGUGAGUGAUGAAGAUGUUCGGAUCGUAAAACUCUGUUAUUAGGGAAGAACAAAUGUGUAAGUAAAUAUGCACGUAUUGACGGUACCUAAUCAGAAAGCAACGGCUAACUACGUG